UACGGAGGGAGCUAGCGUUGUUCGGAUAUACUGGGCGUAAAGCGCACGUAGGCGGCGCAGCAAGUCAGGGGUGAAAUCCCGGAGCUCAACUCCGGAACUGCCUUUGAAACUGCAGUGCUAGAAUCCUGGAGAGGCGAGUGGAAUUUACGGUGUAGCAGUGAAAUGCGUAGAUAUCGUAAGGAAGACCAGUGGCGAAGGCGGAUCUCUGGACAGUUACUGACACUGAGGCACGAAGGCCAGGGGAGCAAACGGG
rnacentral:rRNA from 1 species